UCAGCCUGAACGCUGGCGGCGUGGCUAAGACAUGCAAGUCGUACGGGGCCGCAAGGCCCAGUGGCGAACGGGUGAGUAAUGAAUCGCUAAUGUGCCCCGGACUCAGGGAUAGCCGCUCGAAAGGGCGGGUAAUACCUGAUGACAUAACCCUGUCGCAUGGCAGGGUUCUCAAAGGUCCGCCGGUCUGGGAGCAGGCGAUUUCGUAUCAGCUAGUUGGUGAGGUAACGGCNCACCAAGGCGACGACGCGUAGCCGGACUGAGAGGUUGGCCGGCCACAUUGGGACUGAGACACUGCCCAGACUCCUACGGGGGGCUGCAGUAACGAAUCUUCCGCAAUGCAACGAAAGUGUGACGGAGCGACGCCGCGU
rnacentral:rRNA from 1 species